GACAAGUUAACUGGGUUUUUUCAUCUUGCAUGAGUUGCUGUGUUUGAUUAUUUUUAAUAUUUUAAUAUUGUACAGUGUUUUAUUCUUAUUGUUUUAUUGCAUGUCUUUUACCCUAUUUAUUGUUGACUUGUCCUGGAGAGACUCCUGCCCCUCCCUGAUUAUUAACUUGACACACCUGGGAGGUCCCAGAGGCCAAUAAGAGGGCCUGGCAGGUCAGGAGAAGGAGGGCAGCAGAGAUGGCGAAGUAGCUGGUGGCAGGCAGUGUCUGCAAGUGGCAACGUUGGCGCAGCAGUACGUGGCGAGGGCAUAUGACGGCCAGUGUGCAGAGGGAGCUGUGCUAGUGCUGAAGAAGUAGCUUGAUGCCGGAGAACGCUAUACGGUGGGGGAUUAAGUGGCAGCGGGGCAGCGCCCUAUCUCCUACAGCGAGACCACAGUGUUGGCGUGACACAGAAAAGUGGCAGGUGGAGCUGAGAGCUCUGCCCAUCCGGGUACUCCGAAGCGGAGAGACAGAUGAGACGGCUGUGGGACACCGCCGGGUUUUCCUUGCCCCGCUCCGAUUUUACUGGAUUUUAAUGCUGUGGCUGACGCCAAUGGACUUUUAGUGUUUAUGUUUUAUGGUUUUUACUCUGUGUUCUCCCUGGCCAGGGUAUGUUUUAUGGUUUUUAACUUCAUGUUCUGCCUGGCCAGAGUAUUUUAGUGGUUUAUUUGUAAAUUAAUUUUAGUUUUAACAACGUGAGUUUAUUUUCUACUUCCUUGGCUCCUCCACUGCUCUUCCCGUUAGAAAGGUUUCCCUUCUGUUUCAACCUACCACCUAGUGUCCACUUACAAUUACGCCUCAGUGUAUUUAAGCCCCGUGUUUCUCUGUGUCAGUGUUGUUGUACCCUCAGAUUUUACCUGUGUGUUCCAGUUAUUGCUUUCACGGUUUGGUUUCUGUUUCACGCCAGCAAUAAAGCUGAGGUUUUUGAGUUUGCCA